GAUGAACGCUGGCGGCGUGCCUAAUACAUGCAAGUCGAGCGAACAGAUGAGGAGCUUGCUCCUCUGACGUUAGCGGCGGACGGGUGAGUAACACGUGGAUAACCUACCUAUAAUACUGGGAUAACUUCGGGAAACCGGAGCUAAUACCGGAUAAUAUAUUGAACCGCAUGGUUCAAUAGUGAAAGACGGUUUUGCUGUCACUUAUAGAUGGAUCCGCGCCGCAUUAGCUAGUUGGUAAGGUAACGGCUUACCAAGGCAACGAUGCGUAGCCGACCUGAGAGGGUGAUCGGCCACACUGGAACUGAGACACGGUCCAGACUACUACGGGAGGCAGCAGUAGGGAAUCUUCCGCAAUGGGCGAAAGCCUGACGGAGCAACGCCGCGUGAGUGAUGAAGGUCUUCGGAUCGUAAAACUCUGUUAUUAGGGAAGAAAAAAUGUGUAAGUAACUAUGCACGUCUUGACGGUACCUAAUCAGAAAGCCACGGCUAACUACGUG
rnacentral:rRNA from 1 species